GACGAACGCUGGCGGCGUGCCUAAUACAUGCAAGUCGAACGCACGAAGUUGAAGAGCUUGCUCUUUAACCAAGUGAGUGGCGGACGGGUGAGUAACACGUGGGUAACCUGCCCAUUAGAGGGGGAUAACAUUCGGAAACGGAUGCUAAUACCGCAUAGUUUCAGGAAUCGCAUGAUUCUUGAAGGAAAGGUGGCUUCGGCUACCACUAAUGGAUGGACCCGCGGCGUAUUAGCUAGUUGGUGAGGUAAUGGCUCACCAAGGCAAUGAUACGUAGCCGACCUGAGAGGGUGAUCGGCCACACUGGGACUGAGACACGGCCCAGACUCCUACGGGAGGCAGCAGUAGGGAAUCUUCCGCAAUGGACGAAAGUCUGACGGAGCAACGCCGCGUGAGUGAAGAAGGUUUUCGGAUCGUAAAACUCUGUUGUUAAAGAAGAACAAGGAUGAGAGUAACUGCUCAUCCCCUGACGGUAUUUAACCAGAAAGCCACGGCUAACUACGUGCCAGCAGCCGCGGUAAUACGUAGGUGGCAAGCGUUGUCCGGAUUUAUUGGGCGUAAAGCGAGCGCAGGCGGUUCUUUAAGUCUGAUGUGAAAGCCCCCGGCUCAACCGGGGAGGGUCAUUGGAAACUGGAGAACUUAAGUGCAGAAGAGGAGAGUGGAAUUCCACGUGUAGCGGUGAAAAUGCGUAGAUAUGUGGAGGAACACCAGUGGCGAAGGCGACUCUCUGGUCUGUAACUGACGCUGAUGCUCGAAAGCGUGUGAGCAAACAAG
rnacentral:rRNA from 1 species